rnacentral:rRNA from 1 species
AACGAACGCUGGCGGCAGGCCUAACACAUGCAAGUCGAGCGCCCCGCAAGGGGAGCGGCGGACGGGUGAGUAACGCGUGGGAACGUGCCCUUUGCUACGGAAUAGCCCCGGGAAACUGGGAGUAAUACCGUAUAAGCCCUCCGGGGGAAAGAUUUAUCGGCAAAGGAUCGGCCCGCGUUGGAUUAGGUAGUUGGUGGGGUAAUGGCCUACCAAGCCGACGAUCCAUAGCUGGUUUGAGAGGAUGAUCAGCCACACUGGGACUGAGACACGGCCCAGACUCCUACGGGAGGCAGCAGUGGGGAAUCUUAGACAAUGGGCGCAAGCCUGAUCUAGCCAUGCCGCGUGAGCGAUGAAGGCCUUAGGGUUGUAAAGCUCUUUCGUGGGGGAAGAUAAUGACUGUACCCCAAGAAGAAGCCGGCUAACUCCGUGCCAGCCGCCGCCGUAAGAC